CAUGUGAUGUGUAGGUUAGCCGCACAUCACGGGUUCGAACCCUUAAAAAGUAAAACAAUAGAGAGAUGUUUGUUACUUAGAUAUUUAAGUUUGUCAAGAGUUACAAACAUGCUUUUCUUUCUUUAUUUUAUUUCUCAGAAAAAAAGUUGUGGUAUAAACAUACGUUUUAAAUUAACCUUUUCUCAAAAAGAAAAAAAGAAAGUUACAAACAAGCAAUUCAUGGGUAAAUUCUUUAUGGAAAGUUGCCAGCCAAUUGGUAAGAAAAUAACUAUUAGUCUUGACUCUAUUGCAGAUUUGACUGGUAUGACAUGCAUUUUAAAAGAAUGGAGGAAGUACAUUAUUCUCUUUUAGAUUUCAAUUUGACUGGUCACGGGUUCGAGCCGUGGAAGCAACCACUGAUGCUUGCAUUAGGGUAGAUUUUCUACAUCACACCCCUUGGGGUACGCAGCCUUUUCCUGAACCCUGCUAAUGAGGGAUGCUUCGUGCACCGGACUGCCCUGCCCUGCCCUUUUAUUGUCUCUGGGCUGUACUUUAUUUUGUUCUGUUCUUGUCGCUAUCCUUGUUUUUGAAAAAAAAUAAAAAAUGCACCCUGUUAUUGCUAAUGGGAGUUUGGUAGUUAUCUGGCAGUUAUUUCUGUUCUUUUGGACAUUGUUUUGCUGGAUUUUCACAUGCAUGUUGGUAACUGUAUUAGUUUUGGCACUGUCUUUUGAUUA